rnacentral:lncRNA from 1 species
AUAACUUCCUUGGACUUUUAUCUUUUGAUGGACUCUCCGAGCUCUAAUCUGCUAUGCCUCCUCAUGAUAGCAUUGAUUAUGUCGGCUACAGGUCUAUUUUCUAUCAACUCUUCCUACUGAGGCGAUUCCGUCUGCUGAGGUGCCCUUAGCAAAUCCUUGUGCUGCUUCCUUCUACACUAAAUAAAAUGAUCCAACCGACCUCGUCGAAUGAACUCCUCGAUUUCAUCUUGGAGUUGGAUAUAGUCUUCUAUGUUGUUGCUGUGGUUGCGAUCAUAGAGGCAAUACUUGUUCUCAUUAUAUUGAUCUGAUUGAGAAUGCAUCCUCUCCACCCUGAGAAGCUGCUCCUUAAUUUUUAUGAGCAUUUGAGUCCUGGAUGUGUUCAGAGGAGUGUAAUUUAUGAACCUCCUCUAUGAUAAUAAGCACCUCCUCGGUGACACACGUCGUUAUCCUUGGGGGCUUCUGGUCAUUUUCUUCGAGGAGUUUUGGAUCUAAGACAUCAGGGUGGGAUUCUAGACUGUUGCCAACCCCUUAGGGGAUCCUCUU